GAGCACGUAGGUGGGUUUGUAAGUCAGAUGUGAAAGCCUUCUGUUCAACGGAAGAAUUGCAUCUGAAACUACAAACCUUGAGUGUAGGAGGGGAGAAUGGAACUUCUGGUGGAGCGGUGAAAUGCGUAGAUAUCAGAAGGAACGCCGGCGGCGAAAGCGAUUCUCUGGCCUAUUACUGACACUGAGUGUGCGAAAGCUAGGGGAGCAAACGGGAUUAGAUACCCCGGUAGUCCUAGCCGUAAACGAUGGGCACUAAGUAGAGGGGUUUUAA
rnacentral:rRNA from 1 species